rnacentral:rRNA from 1 species
AAGGCGUAGCCGAUGCACAGACGGUUGAGAUUCCGUCACCACCAAAAGAGUUAAGCAUGGGGACACAUCUGAAGUGUUUGAGCCGGGAGUUGGUUCCGGUAGUGAUCGAGGGAAAUAAGUACCGAAGUCAAGCAUGGAGGGUGGCGAGAAAAGCCAUGUGUAUUUCUGAGGUGCCCGUACCGCAAACCGACACAGGUAGGUAGGAAGAAGAUUCUAAGGCCAACGGGAGAAGGGUUGUUAAGGAACUCGGCAAAUUGACCCCGUAACUUCGGGAGAAGGGGUGCUGCAGAGAUGCAGCCGCAGAGAAACGGCCCAAGCAACUGUUUACCAAAAACACAGGUUUGUGCUAAAUCGAAAGAUGACGUAUACGAGCUGACGCCUGCCCGGUGCUGGAAGGUUAAGAGGAGAUGUGAGAGCAUUGAAUUGAAGCCCCAGUGAACGGCGGCCGUAACUAUAACGGUCCUAAGGUAGCGAAAUUCCUUGUCAGGUAAGUUCUGACCCGCAUGAAAGGCGUAAUGAUUUGGGCACUGUCUCAACAGCCCGCCCGGCGAAAUUGUAGUACCGGUGAAGAUGCCGGUUACCCGCGACAAGACGGAAAGACCCCAUGGAGCUUUACUGCAGCCUGAUAUUGGGUUUCGAUGUUGCAUGCACAGGAUAGAUGGGACACUGGGAAGCAAGAGCCUUGGCUUUUGUGGAGUGGACGUUGGGAUACCAUCCUUGUGAUAUUGGAAUUCUAACCAGCACCUCUGAAUCGAGGUGGGGGACAUUGUCAGGUGGGCAGUUUGACUGGGGCGGUCGCCUCCAAAAAAGUAACGGAGGCGUUCAAAGGUUCGCUCGGCUUGAACGGAAAUCAAGCGAGAGAGUGCAAACGCAGAAGCGAGCCUGACUGCGAGACUGACGGGUCGAGCAGGAACGAAAGUUGGAGUUAGUGAUCCGGUGGUAUGUGAGUGGAAAUGCCAUCGCUCAACGGAUAAAAGUUACCCUGGGGAUAACAGGCUGAUCUCCCCCAAGAGUCCACAUCGACGGGGAGGUUUGGCACCUCGAUGUCGGCUCAUCGCAUCCUGGGGCUGUAUUCGGUCCCAAGGGUUUGGCUGUUCGCCAAUUAAAGCGGUACGCGAGCUGGGUUCAGAACGUCGUGAGACAGUUCGGUCCCUAUCUGUCGUGGGCGCAGGAUAUUUGAUGGGAGCUGUCCCUAGUACGAGAGGACCGGGACGGACGAACCUCUGGCGCACCAGUUGUUCCGCCAGGAGCACAGCUGGGCAACUAUGUUCGGAUCGGAUAAACGCUGAAAGCAUCUAAGCGUGAAGCCGACCCAAAGAUAAGAUAUCCCACUAAGUAAUUAGGUAAGAUCCCUUGAAGACUACAAGGUAGAUAGGCACAAUGUGUAAGUGGGGCGAUCCAUUCAGCAAGAGUGUACUAAUAGAUCGAGGGCUUGACCAG